rnacentral:rRNA from 1 species
UACGGAGGGUGCAAGCGUUAUCCGGAUUUACUGGGUUUAAAGGGUGCGUAGGCGGGCAGGUAAGUCAGUGGUGAAAUCCUUGAGCUUAACUCGAGAACUGCCAUUGAUACUAUCUGACUUGAAUAUUGUGGAGGUGAGCGGAAUAUGUCAUGUAGCGGUGAAAUGCUUAGAUAUGACAUAGAACACCCAUUGCGAAGGCAGCUCACUACGCAUAUAUUGACGCUGAUGCACGAAAGCGUGGGGAUCAAACAGG